UACGUAGGGUGCGAGCGUUAAUCGGAAUUACUGGGCGUAAAGCGUGCGCAGGCGGUUUUGUAAGCCAGAUGUGAAAUCCCCGGGCUUAACCUGGGAAUGGCAUUUGGGACUGCAAGGCUCGAGUGCGGCAGAGGAGACUGGAAUUCCUGGUGUAGCAGUGAAAUGCGUAGAUAUGCGGAGGAACACCGAUGGCGAAGGGCAAUCCCCUGGACCUGUACUGACGCUCAUGCACGAAAGCGUGGGGAGCAAACAGG
rnacentral:rRNA from 1 species